rnacentral:rRNA from 1 species
CGCCUGGGGAGUGCGGCCGCAAGGUUAAAACUCAAAUGAAUUGACGGGGGCCCGCACAAGCGGUGGAGCAUGUGGUUUAAUUCGACGCAACGCGAAGAACCUUACCUGGCCUUGACAUGCAGAGAACUUUCCAGAGAUGGAUUGGUGCCUUCGGGAACUCUGACACAGGUGCUGCAUGGCCGUCGUCAGCUCGUGUCGUGAGAUGUUGGGUUAAGUCCCGUAACGAGCGCAACCCCUAUCCCUAGUUGCUAGCAGUUCGGCUGAGAACUCUAGGGAGACUGCCGGUGACAAACCGGAGGAAGGUGGGGAUGACGUCAGGUCAUCAUGGCCCUUACGGCCAGGGCUACACACGUGCUACAAUGGUGCGCACAGAGGGCUGCAAACCCACGAGGGGGAGCCAAUCUCACAAAACGCAUCGUAGUCCGGAUCGCAGUCUGCAACUCGACUGCGUGAAGUCGGAAUCGCUAGUAAUCGUGAAUCAGAAUGUCACGGUGAAUACGUUCCCGGGCCUUGUACACACCGCCCGUCACACCAUGGGAGUGGAUUGCACCAGAAGUGGUUAGUCUAACCUUCGGGAGGACGAUCACCACGGUGUGGUUCAUGACUGGGGUGAAGUCGUAACAAGGUAACCGUA